rnacentral:rRNA from 1 species
AUUGAACGCUGGCGGCAGGCUUAACACAUGCAAGUCGAGCGAGCGGCGGACGGGUGAGUAAUGUCUGGGAAACUGCCUGAUGGAGGGGGAUAACUACUGGAAACGGUAGCUAAUACCGCAUACCAUCAGCUGUGCCCAGAUGGGAUGAGCUAGUAGGUGGGUGAAUGGCUCACCUAGGCGACGCUCCAUAUCUGGUCUGCUAGGGUGACCAGCCACACUGGAACGGAGACACGGUCCAGACUCCUACGGGAGGCAGCAGUGGGGAAUAUUGCACAAUGGGCGCAAGCCUGAUGCAGCCAUGCCGCGUGUGUGAAGAAGGCCUUCGGGUUGUAAAGCACUUUCAGCGAGGAGGCGGUACUCGCAGAAGAAGCACCGGCUAACUCCGUGCCAGCAGCCGCGGUAAGAC